UACGUAGGAGGCGAGCGUUGUCCGGAAUGAUUGGGCGUAAAGGGCGCGUAGGCGGCCCGGUAAGUCUGAAGUGAAAGUCCUGGUUUCAAGUUGGGAAUUGCUUUGGAUACUGUCGGGCUUGAGUGCAGGAGGGGUAAGUGGAAUUCCCAGUGUAGCGGUGAAAUGCGUAGAGAUUGGGAGGAACACCAUUGGCGAAGGCGACUUACUGGACCGUAACUGACGCUGAGGCGCGAAAGUGUGGGGAGCAAAC
rnacentral:rRNA from 1 species